UUAACCAGGAGAUCUUCAAUGAUCUGAAACUCAAAAGAGUCCUACAAAAAGUGGAAACUAAGUCAAAUCAUGAAGGAUGAAUACAAACAUCCUGGAAUAUAAACAGCACAAGCAUGUAGGGACAAAAUUAGAAGGGCCAAAGCACAAAAUGAAAUUAAACUAGCUAGAGACAAACGGGAACGAGAAAACAUCCUACAAAUACUUUAGAAGCAGGAGAAAGGACAAGGAAGUCCCAUUACUCAAUGAUGGGGGAAAGACAAUAACAGAAAAUGUGGAAAUGGAAGAAGUGCUAAAUGACAUUUUUGUUUCAGUUUUCACCAAGAAGGUUAGUAGUAAUUGGACACGUUAACAUACUGAAUGCCAGUGAAAAUGUGUAGGAUCUGAGGCUAAAAUCGGGAGAGAACAAAUUAAAAAUUACAUUAGACAAAUUGGAUGUCUUCAAGUUGGCAGCACCUGAUGAAAUACAUCCUAGAAUACUCAAGGAGCUGUCUGAGGAGAUAUGAGCCAUUAGCGAUAAUCGUUGAAAACUCAUGGAAGACGGGAGAGAUUCCAGAGGACUGGAAGAGGGCAAAUAUAGUGCUAAUCUAUAAAAAAAAAAUGGGGAUAAGGGCAACCUGGGGAAUUACAGAUCAGUCAGCUUAAUUUCAGUGCCCGAAAAGAUAAUGGAACAAAUAAUCAAUCAAUUUGCAAAUACCUAGAAGAUAAUAAGGUGAUAAGUAACAGUCAACAUGGAUUUGUCAAGAUCAUGUCAGGCCAACCUGUUACAGGAUGUUGUGUAGUAACAGACUCGAUGGGCUUAUAACAGUUUUAAUUUAGUUGUUUUGCAGGACCCCUGCCCCUAUAGACAGAUGCUUGAAGGAUAAAAGAUCCUAUCAUCUGGUGUCGCUUAAAAUAAAAUAGGGAGGUAAUGAUAAGGAUGCAAAGCAGGUAAGUAAUUUAUUGAAGGUAAGAUACGGUAAUGGGAGAGGGGGAAGCAAUGUAUAUAAAACAGAACAAACUGAAUAUAUAACAGCUCCGUGAUUUAUAUCCCAAGGUAGGCUUGAAGCCCAGACCCCACCAAUUACCUUAACAGACUACAGGCCUAUGAAUAACGAUUAAUGUUACUUUCAGAUGGAUGACACCGAGACACAAAACGGACGGCGUGUCAACUCAGUCUGCCUCAGCUUCAGCGGGAUGGAUCCGGACCUUCUACUGUGAUGUUGGACUCUCACAGGAGGAACUCGGAUCAGACAUGAUGUUACUCAGUCUUGUUUCGCCACUGCACUGAUGCAGGGGAGAUGGAAGAAGUACAGAGGACAGCAGACAGCGUAUGUAUGCAAACAUUAGGAGAACUGGUCAGAUGACAUGGACUCCAGUGCCAGCAAUAUGCAGGCCAGCCCUGCUCCUACAUCAUAUACAGCCACAUUACUACCACCAGGAUGGCUCGGUGCAUGGAAGAAAUGAGCUCAUGGAUGAAGAACAGUUGGCUGAAGCUGAACUUAAACAAGACAGAUGCAGCAAUGCGAUGUACCUGAGCAUGAAGCCUUCAAAGCUAAGGAAAUUCCAGCUAGUACAGAAUGCUGCAGCACGUCUCUUCAUCAACAUGGGCUACCGCCAACACAUCAAACCUGUCCUCCACUCCCUAUCCUGGCUUCCCAUGGAAUUUCAAAUCAAGUUCAAGGUCUUGAUCCUUACCUCAGGGUGCUCCAUGGCCUGUCCCAGGAUAUCUAGAGGCUGACUAAUGCUCUGGAAUGAAAAUGGUGUUUGACAACUUUGCUCCUCUGGCACAGUGGAACCCCCCACAAUAAGAGUAAAGUUCGUUCCUGUGAGAUAGAACUUUUCAGGAAGACUGUACAAGGAGCUCUCUCAAAGACGGUACAAGGAGCUCCCUCAAGAAGAAACUGGGACUGACCUUGCAAUCUUUGCUCAUGCCAGGGUCUGUCUAUCAUUACAGCUUGUCAGAUAAUAGUCAGUAAAUAAUUUAUUUGAAGAAUUUUCCAAUAAAUGAUUUUGCAAAUAUUUUUUCCAAUGUAGAGAGCUGGGUAAAAAUAAUAAAUCAGUCCUGAAUAUUUGAGUUUCACAACAUUUUUGGAAUAAAGAAUUCUCAAGUAGUAUUUGUCAUUAGUCACCCAUCUCUAGUGUUCAUAGGAACUAUGAACUAGAAUCACUAGGAACUAGAAUAAAAUUAAGGAAUGCAAAUGAUUGAAUCAAAGACAACUCUGCUAUUUAUUGCCUGCCACCUCUCUCUCCUACACAUACAGUUGCUCCAAUCCGCUCUCCAAUGGCCCUCUCCCUGCUGGUUCAGCAGCUCCAAGAUGUUCUAAAGGUGGCCCAUAAUGAAUAAAUGAACCAAAUUUCAACAUUCUAGUUCAAAGGGUACUUGGAUAUUUGAAGUCCCAUAAGAAAGAUGUUUUGGUGACCUUUCAUGGAAAGAUCAAUUUCAGGGCAUAGUUAAUCCACCUCCAUGAGAGGCAGUAGCUAUGUCGAUGGGAGAGGCUGUCUCGCUGACAUAGUGCUGUCUAUGCGGGGGUUAGGUCAGUAUAACUCCAUCGCUCAGGUUUGUGGCUGUUUUACACCGCCGAGAGACAUAGCUAUACCAAUAUAGGUCUGUAGUGCAGACCAGACCUCAGGUUUUUUCCUGUGCUUUAAUGGCCCUUGGCAUUACAAAUUCCAGGUGUUCUAAAAUCAUGAGUCAGGGCCCCAAAAUCAUAAGAGUGAAUUAAAAAUCAUGAGAUUUUUAAACAAUACACUUUGGGUUCUUUUUCUUCUUUGGCUGCUUCCUGACGUGUUAGUAGCCCCUGGGUCACAUUUUCAAGAUUUCUUUGCAACCAUGAGGACUAGAAACUUACUUUUUAAAAAAUUGAAAGCUGUGAUUCUCACUAAAUCAAAUGUCUCCAGAAGCUGGGUCUUUAAAUAAAACACCAAAUAUCACAAACCCCAUGAUCAAAUAGCAAGAGUUGGCAACACUAGUAAUGAAUAAGUGGGUAAAACAUACAAUGGAAACAUGGAAAUUAACUGUGUCAGUAAGUCAUCCUUUCUGUAUUUUGCUAGCUAUUUCUUAGGCCUAGUCUACACUUAAAAAGUUUUACCAGACUAGCUGUAUCUGUUAUGGGAGUGAUUUUUUUUUUUUUUACCAACAUAGCUAUGCCAGUAAAAGUUCUAG